rnacentral:rRNA from 1 species
GAUGAACGCUGGCGGCGUGCCUAAUACAUGCAAGUCGAGCGAAUGGAUUAAGAGCUUGCUCUUAUGAAGUUAGCGGCGGACGGGUGAGUAACACGUGGGUAACCUGCCCAUGAGACUGGGAUAACUCCGGGAAACCGGGGCUAAUACCGGAUAACAUUUUGAACCGCAUGGUUCGAAAUUGAAAGGCGGCUUCGGCUGUCACUUAUGGAUGGACCCGCGUCGCAUUAGCUAGUUGGUGAGGUAACGGCUCACCAAGGCAACGAUGCGUAGCCUACCUGGGAGGGUGAUCGGCCACACUGGGACUGAGACACGGCCCAGACUCCUACGGGAGGCAGCAGUAGGGAAUCUUCCGCAAUGGACGAAAGUCUGACGGAGCAACGCCGCGUGAGUGAUGAAGGCUUUCGGGUCGUAAAACUCUGUUGUUAGGGAAGAACAAGUGCUAGUUGAAUAAGCUGGCACCUUGACGGUACCUAACCAGAAAGCCACGGCUAACUACGUGCCAGCCGCCGCUGUAA